AAUCUUCAACCAUUCUGUUGGGUGUUUACGCCUGGCGGUUUGGAUUGGACUUGGGUGUUUGUCGGACAAGCAAUUGUCUGACUCACCUUAAAAGGAUCAGUGGAUCUAUUGUCUUGGACUUUUGCAUUGCAAUUGGUUUGACUUGGCGUAAUAAGUAUUUCGCUAAGGACAGUGCUUCGGUGCUGGCCAUUGCUUUUCAACCGGACUUUGGAAAUCGCUUUCUAACCCUAAUUUUAUUUGAC
rnacentral:misc_RNA from 2 species